GCGCUCCAGGGGCUGACAAGGAGGCCGCGGGGUCACGCUCCCUGGGGCAACGGCCCGAGGGUCUCGCGGAAUCCCGGUGCAGAAGUCUGGACCCUCCGAGCAGCCUCCGCGCCCCCUCCGGCUCGGCUCCGAGCCUGCAGACGGCGCCCCCGGGGCUAACUCAGCGCGAGAAGAGGAAGCGACGCAGCGAGUAACAGGCUGUAUGGACGGACAGCGGACUGAAGGGGGGUGUGUGUGUGUCUGCCUGCCAACAAGGCCGUCUCACCUUCCCGCUGCCGAGCCGGGCAGCUCCAGCUCACCUGAGGAGGGCUCCAGGACGCCACUGCGGCCGCCGUGAUGGCCGUAACGGCACGAGGCCUGCGCUCCGCCGCCGCCGCGUAGCUCUUGGGAGAGAGGCGGGGCACGCGCGGUGGGCAGGCGGAUCCGCGCGGGCAGGAAACCCACUCUGGACCCAAUCUGAUAGGUUCAGUCGCCCCCUUCCCCGGUCCCUGACGCGACAACGGUCUCUGCCGCACUGGGAUUGGGCGGGCCCUCAUGUCAAUCAAGCGCCGUGCCUGAUGUGGAGGGAGCGGAGGCUGCGCGGCGGAGAGUAGAGAGCUAGAGGGUGAGAAGCGCUGGGCCGGACCAGAACUGUCUUAGCUUUUCCCUCUGCGGCUGCUCUGGUUGGUUACUUUGAGCCUGCCUCCUCAGCGCCGCAGGAGAGACUUAACAGCAAAAAUGACUGUGUCCUGAGUUCAGCCCCCACUGCUCUGGGAGCUUCCCCCUGGUUUCUGCACCUGAAGAAUGUCAUCCCAGCCGAAGGUUCUUAGGAGCGGGGAGCGACAAAGAAAAACAAAGAAAAGCAGACCUGAAAAUUGGGACCUGGGAGAAAUAGACGAGUGCUCUAAACCAGUAUCAUGGCUCCAGUUCCUCUGACAAGGAUUCACAUGGGGUAAGUGCCCACUAAGGCAGAGGUGUCUACUUCAGCAGUGCAGAGCAACUCAGCUAAGUAGAGGGAAUAUGAAAUAGAACCAGAAGUCUAGCCUGCUUAGCUACAAAUGUUUCCACCAAAAAUAGUGGAUACAAAUGAAUUAAAAGUAUGCACAGUUUGGUGUCUGCUUGAACAAUGGGCACAUCCAGUGUGGAGAGCUUAAAAUGACUAUUUUUAUCCAAAAGAGGAACUAUUUCCCAAGCUAGAUCCCAGAAUAUGAGGCCUGAGACCACCUCAUUCCUAUGGCUGAGAAAAGUAAUACAGAAUUAUGGAGGCUGGCACGUCGGCAUGUCCAAAAUUUGCAGAGUGGGUAGCAGGCUAGUCCAGAGAAGUGCCAAUAUUGCGGUUUAAGUCCAAAGUCUGUUGGCUAAAGAAUUCCCUCUUGCUUGGAGGAGGUCAGUCUUUUGUGCUAUUCAGGCUUUCAACUGAUUGGACGAUGCCCACCCACAU
rnacentral:lncRNA from 1 species